AGUCGAGCGAACAGACAAGGAGCUUGCUCCUUUGACGUUAGCGGCGGACGGGUGAGUAACACGUGGGUAACCUACCUAUAAGACUGGGAUAACUUCGGGAAACCGGAGCUAAUACCGGAUAAUAUUUCGAACCGCAUGGUUCGAUAGUGAAAGAUGGUUUUGCUAUCACUUAUAGAUGGACCCGCGCCGUAUUAGCUAGUUGGUAAGGUAACGGCUUACCAAGGCGACGAUACGUAGCCGACCUGAGAGGGUGAUCGGCCACACUGGAACUGAGACACGGUCCAGACUCCUACGGGAGGCAGCAGUAGGGAAUCUUCCGCAAUGGGCGAAAGCCUGACGGAGCAACGCCGCGUGAGUGAUGAAGGUCUUCGGAUCGUAAAACUCUGUUAUUAGGGAAGAACAUACGUGUAAGUAACUAUGCACGUCUUGACGGUACCUAAUCAGAAAGCCACGGCUAACUACGUGCCAGCAGCCGCGGUAAUACGUAGGUGGCAAGCGUUAUCCGGAAUUAUUGGGCGUAAAGCGCGCGUAGGCGGUUUUUUAAGUCUGAUGUGAAAGCCCACGGCUCAACCGUGGAGGGUCAUUGGAAACUGGAAAACUUGAGUGCAGAAGAGGAAAGUGGAAUUCCAUGUGUAGCGGUGAAAUGCGCAGAGAUAUGGAGGAACACCAGUGGCGAAGGCGACUUUCUGGUCUGUAACUGACGCUGAUGUGCG
rnacentral:rRNA from 1 species